rnacentral:rRNA from 1 species
GAUGAACGCUCGCGGCGUGCUUAACACAUGCAAGUCGAGCGAGUGAGUUCUUUAGAACGAUCUAGCGGCGGACGGGUGAGUAACACGUGGGCAACCUGCCUCCUAGCGGGGAAUAGCCUCCCGAAAGGGAGAUUAAUACCGCAUAAAAUUAUCGAGUGGCAUCACAUGAUAAUCCAAGGAGCAAUCCGCUAUGAGAUGGGCCCGCGGCGCAUUAGCUAGUUGGUGAGGUAACGGCUCACCAAGGCGACGAUGUGUAGCCGACCUGAGAGGGUGAUCGGCCACAUUGGGACUGAGACACGGCCCGGACUCCUACGGGAGGCAGCAGUGGGGAAUAUUGCACAAGGGGGGAAACCCUGAUGCAGCAACGCCGCGGGAGUGAUGAAGGGCUACGGAUUGUAAAGCUCUGUCUUUGGGGACGAUAAUGACGGGACCCAAGGAGGAAGCCACGGCUAACUACGUGCCAGCAGCCGCGGUAA